CUGCCCGGCUCGCUCCCGCCCCAGAGUCGCCUCGGCUCGGCCGACGGGCGCAGUCCCAGCUCCUGCGCCCCCGGCGCCCCCCUCGCCCCUCACCAGCUCGGACGCGUAGUCGUCGUCGCCGCCGCCGCCACCUCUAGCCGUCGCGGCCCCGCCUCGCUCUCCUCUAGCGCGCGCCGCGGGAGGGGUCUACGCCGCGCUCCGAUUGGCUGCUCUCUGGCCAAUCGGCGCUGGGGGCGGCAGAGAUUGGCGAGCAUGAAGUGCACGGGCUGUCCUUGGAGCCAAUGGCUGACAGUGCUUCAUGGACACAGACCAACUAUGCACGGGACUGCCACCUGAAGAGGGAGUUAUCUACGCCAGAGGAGCCCCUACUCCCAUCACACCUGCCAGGCCCUGGAAGGGAGGUAAUGAAGCUCCUGGAAGGUCUCACAUUGCUCCCAGGGACAGUGCCAACUGCGGCAAGGGUCGGGCACUGGCCCAGCUCUGGCUGCCUCUCCCAGUGGUACCCGAGGUGCUGGAUGUGCUCUGGCUUCUGCUCACUCAUCAGCAGGCUGGCGCCAGACAACUUCCCUGCCGCCUUCCCACAAUGGCAAGCAGUGCUCCUUGGCAGCAGCAAGACACCCCCACCAUGGGCACCUGUCAGAGCACAGGAAGGUUGCCCAGGAUCUCAGCUCCUGUGCAUUGGCCUGGUUGGCCCUGGGGAGGACCCUGCCUCUCUGACUCCAUUUCCUGUACCUCUCGGAGAUCCCAGGAAUCAUCUGACAUGAUGGCCAUGAGCCAGGCCUGGGCACAGUGUCAGGGCCUAAUCAACGGAGGUUAGAAAGACAUUUGCCUCAAGGUCAGGUUAGGAACGUUGACAAAAGACGAGGGGCAUAGAGGAGGGCCAAGCUGGGGUCUCACCACUCUGUGCCCCUUCAAUGCACUGACUCUAUUUCUUAUCUGGAAAAUAAGAGAUGUAUUCACAAUUAAAA